CCACCUGUGAGGUGAUUCAGCCCAGUUGGGGAUCCUGAAGACAGCAACAAGGCAAGGAUGUGCGUAGGGCGGGAUCUGCGUCAUCCUUAACAGGUGGUCAUGACCAGAGUCAAGAAGCCCAGGCAGAGAGGAAGGAUCUCUGCAAACAGCCCAAGAAAGAAUGUGCACAAUUUAAAAUACUGCCUGCCUGCCUGCCUGCCUGCCUGCCUGCCUGCCUGUGAGGUGGCAAGGCUGAAUCCUCGUUCUUUUGAAAAUAGAAAGAAAAUCACGUGUCGUCUCAUGCCCCUUCCUCAGACUCUCAGAUCUGGUUUUUAUGAUAUGUUCAACUUCUGAACCAAAGGCAUUUCUCCCAAGAAGAUUCCCAGAUUAUCCUGGUUUGUAUUUCUUCCCUGGUGGCCUGGAGAAGCGCUUCCCACCUGCAGUGAGUACAGGAGAGUAUCCGACACGGAGAGUCUAGAUGACCCAGCUAUGGUCUGCAGCCCGAAGACCCUGGCAAAGACGGCUGAAGUUCUGCUCACCACAGAGCCCUCUGGUUCCAUAAUCACACUUUCUUAUGCUGUUCUUUAAGUUCAUACUUAGCCACUGUCAUGGGAUCAUGGGGAUAAUCCAGUUACAGAGAGAGAGAGAGAGAGAGAGAGAGAGAGAGAGAGAGAGAGAGAGAGAGAGAGGAGAGCGCACAGAACAGAGAAAGAGAGAGAACAUGCACACAUACACAGAGAGAACACACAUACAGAGAAAGAUAGAGAACAGAGAGAGAGAGACCUGUUUGAUUAAGCACAGCCUCCUCCACUCUAAGAACUCACUUAUUUCUUACCAGAAACAUGAUAAUUACCCUUUUGAUCAUAUCCAUUCAAUUUCCCAUCCACUUUUCUAAAUCCGAAAGUCCCUGUCUCUGACAUAGAGAGGAAUCAAGUCUGUCUCCCUGAGUGCUUAAAUCGCCUUGCUGUUUUCUAAGCAAGCACGUGCCAUCCGCCGAUGAUGAGCCCGUAACCUCCAGUAAUCACGUUAUACUUCUGAACACCGGUGCCUUGACUCAAAAUGUCAGUUCUCACAAAGACGUGGGGAAUCUAUUUUAACCUGUUCUUUUCUUAUUCUAUACCCGUUUUCCUUUUAAGUCAUGCCCAAGGGAUAAAUACAUGUUUUGAAUCACGUGUUGCAUACCAUGUUGUAAAAAAAAAAAA